GACGAAGCCUGAGUGAUGUCAGCCAUCUGUUCCUGCAGGGGGCUCUGGAGGCUCAUCAGCAGCAGCCGCCAUGCUGGAAAUCCUGUCUCAGCCUAACUUUCAGUCAACCUAACAACAGGCUGAGAGCUGGAGCUGAGGUGGGUUUUAAGCUUCCUGACAAACCGUUCCCACCUGUCAAUCAUGUCAGCUACGCGCCUAACUAUGGAUAACACAGUGAAGGGGAUUAAUUGACAUGAACAAUAAACCAAACAAAAAGAACCAAAGCUGGCUGAGAUUCACUUCAUAUUUCAGUCAAUAAAAGAUGUCGGUGGUUUGGUCAUUGCCCUUGUUGGCAAUUGAAGAUCCAACCCCUACACAUUGAAAUCUUCACAUAAUAUCAGCCAAGUAUUCCUAAAAGAAGCAUUUUCUCACAACGUUAUGGAUUUAUGGAAUACUGUUUGAUAGCCUAUGAUGUCCUUAUUCAAUGUAUUUAUAACAUUAUACAAAGCUGUUUAAUUUAAUUUUGCAUGUUGCAGUGUAUUUGGGAAGACUUGUUGCAACUGUCCCCAGUCUCCCCUAUUUUAUCUAUUUAAUUUGAUGUUGACUGUAAUGAAAUGAUGAUGUGUAUUUGAUAUAAGUCCUGGAACAUAAUAGGAAGAGAGAGCAGUGUUGGGAGUGUUGCUGAGUUACAGAAGUGAUUCAAGGUUUAGAUAAUUUUCAGUUUUGCGUAGGAGCCAUAGAAACAGGAUACAAAGUGUUCCUCUGCAGCUGUGCUCGAGUAAAUAAAGAGCAUAAAACAAACA